GGAGGUAGUGACAAUAAAUCACAAUGCGGAACAAUGUUUUGCAAUUGGAUUGAGAACAACGUACAAACCUUAUCGAUAAACAAUUGGAGGGCAAGUCUGGUGCCAGCAGCCGCGGUAAUUCCAGCUCCAAUAGCGUAUAUUAACGUUGUUGCAGUUAAAAAGCUCGUAGUUGAAAUGAAGGGUAGUUGUGUAAUGAAUACAUUCGUGUAUUUUGUUAUUCUACCACCCUCCUUCUAAAUUCGAUAUAUGAGUAUUAAUUUACUUGUAUAUGGUUUUAGACAUUUACUGUGAGAAAAUUAGAGUGUUCAAAGCAGGCAUUUGCUUGAAUAUAUUAGCAUGGAAUAAUCAUGUAUGAUUUUCAUGAUGUAUUUGAUUGGUUUGGUUGAUGAGAAUAAGAUUAAAAGGGACAGUUGGGGGUAUUCAUAUUCAAUAGUCAGAGGUGAAAUUCUCGGAUUUAUGGAAGAUGAACAAGUGCGAAAGCA
rnacentral:rRNA from 1 species